CAUUGAUUUACUCAAAACCUGGGUGAGCUAGAAGAGCACCGGCUAGCUGACUUCUUACAAAGCCCACGAUGCUCGCUUCUGAAUGCUCGACUCCGGUGGCCCGUGGUCGCUUCCUUGCUCUACCCAGCAGAAUCACGACUUCCGGAAAGUUGCCUUCUGCUGCUUCUUCUUCUUCUUCCUCUCCCUACUUUCGUCCUCUUAGAUACGCAGUGCUCGGCGCUGGUUUUGCUGGGCUCUCCGUCGUUUGGCAUCUGUUGAAGGUCUCUUUCCACUCUCUGUGGAUAAUUUUGAUUUCCUGUAUUUAGCUGUUUUGGUCACAUUUUGGGGAAAUAUUGUUACUGAAUUGCAGCACAGUUCUGAGGGGUUGAAUCUGAGGAUUGAUAUUUUUGAUGAAGUGGGAAUCGGAGGAGGUGCCUCCGGAGUUUCUGGGGGUCUCCUUCACCCUUAUUCUCCUAAAGCUAAGCUUCUUUGGAGGGGUGCUGAGUGUUGGAAAGAGUGUUUGAUGCUUUUGAGUAUUGCAGAAAGGGCUGCUUUUUCCGAGGAAUCAAACUUUGAACUUGGACAACCUGGUCAAUGUUUUGACAGCUUUAUAGUUAGGAGAAGAGGCCUUUUGAGACCAGCAACAAGCAUGAAGAAUUUGAAUGUGUUGCUUGAUGUAAUCCCUCUAUCCUUCUCAUUUGCCCUAAUUUUAUAUGAAUUUAGAGUAAAAUCUUUAUUACCUAUCUUCUGCAACUAGAAUGCUCAGAAUUGCGUUGCCAGUUGCAGAAUAGAGACCAUUGGUAAGGAAACUGCCCAAAAACUUGUACCUAACAUAUGUCUACCAUUCAACUCAGCCUUUUACAUGCCUCAAGCUGUAAAUGUCCAUCCACUGCAUUAUCUUCAGGUCUGAAGAAUAAAUCAUUUGAAUUUCUAUUAUUUUGAAUAGUUUCUUUCUCCUUAUCCAUAUUGUUUUAUCGAUGAUUCUUCAUUUAUUUUUCCAGGCACUCUUUGUAGCGUGCAAAAAUCUAGUGAAAGAACUGUCCACUUCUAGCCAUGGGCUAAAGGAGCUAUACUUGCAUAAGAAAUCUGUUCAAAAACUUAUUGAAUUUGAAGGUGAAACCUCUCAAAUGAGAUUCACAUUUUAGAUUUUGUAGGUUUUGCCAAUCUAGGUUGAAUUUAAUGUACUAGCACAUAGACUUGAACUUUUAUGCAAGGCCAAAAGGAAAAAUGGGAGAAAAGUUGAAAAGUCUUGGAAUCUGAAAUUGGCCUCUUACACUGGAAUCAGAAAUUAAUUCUAAUUGUUGAUUGGGAAUUUGGAAUAUUGUCUGAAUUGUUAGAUCCACAGCACCAAGACAUCUAAAUGCAUCUAUAAUUCAAAGGAGUUGUCUUUCCUCCAAUAUGUUUAGUAUAUUUUAUAUGUCCUGGAUGUGUCCAGACCAUAAAAAAGAAUAACAAAUACUUGUAUAAGAUAAAAGUUCCAGUACAUAGAUGUAUCUUUGGUUGGCUUAUGUACUCUUCUAGUCAUGCUUAAGCUCACAUAAUUUUUUGUUUAUUUCUUGAUUAAUUUGCCUUUACAUUUUACAUAGGUGAGUAUGAUGCGGUGAUAAUAUGUCUAGGUGCCAAAGCAGACAUGCUACCAGAGCUCUCUGGGAGGCUUCCUUUGAGGACAUGUAGAGGUGUCAUCGCCCACCUGCAGCUGCCUGGUAAUAUUAGGUAAAACUUAUGUUAUCCCUUCUGUACAGUAUCAGGUUAGAGGGUUUAUAAUCAGGGUAUUUGAGUACCUUAUUGAAUAAAGUUGCAUAUGAACUGUGGCAUGACAGAUCAUGUGGAAUUUGUAAUAAGUCUGUUUUGGGUUUGUCAGACUGGAGUCUUCAGGUUCCAGUGUCUGGAUUCUGGAAUUGCUUUGGCAUUCACUACAAAUUCUGUUGUUGGCCAACUCAUCGUUUGGAACACUUUCAGGGAAGAAUAUGCAGACCAUGCCCCUUCAAUAUUGUCGGAUGCAUGGUUUGCUGUCCAGGGGACCCGCAGUUUACUAAUGGGUUCAACAUGGGAAUGGAAAUCAAGAAACUCUUCUCCAAAUGUCUCAGCAGAUGAAGCUUCUAGAGCUCUUGAAGAGCUCCUACCCAAGGUUUCUGCUUUUUACCCAGGAAUAAAGGAUUGGACUUUUACUGGAGCAAAGGCAGGUUUGAGGGCAAUGCCACCACAAACUCCCCAAGGAUCACUUCCGCUUUUGGGCUGUGUCAAUGAUUUUGUUGGUGACAAUUGUAUCUGUAAAUACUGGUUAUUUGGUGGACUGGGUUCACGGGGUUUGUUGUACCAUGCUCGGCUUGGGAAUUUGAUGGCACAAGCUGUGCUUUCCUGUAAUGAAGAACUAAUUCCUACUGAACUGACCUCUUGGAAGAAUAUAAAUCAGUAGUUGAAUGCAAUCUGGAUUUCGCUUGUUUUGGUGCAAAACUUUGAAUAUCUCAACAUAGUUCAGGUAAAUGUAGCCCUUUAACUUUCUUCAUCCUUGCUUUAUCUGCUGUAGAUGAUUAAGAAUCUUUUUGCCACUGCAAAGUGGGGACUAGUACAGUGCUUCAGAAUGCAAAUCUUUAACAAAUCCUGGAUGAGAAGGUUGAUAGCAGGCAAGUUACUAAGAGAGCCUUUCACACCUAUGGAAAUCCAAACUCACUAUGUUUUGGUCAAGAUUUAAUGCUUCUCAUUUCUGAGAAAAAAAAAAUGAAAGAAGAAGAGAGAGAUCAAUGCUAUUCAGCGGUCAGUUCCUCUGCUCUUUUGAGCUGCUGAAAGAACAGCAGGGGCACAGUAGCUUAAUAGUAGUGGGUAGAAGCAGUUAUUUUCAGUUUAUACUUUUCUUUAUAAACCUACCUUCAUUCGGGAUAGUUUUCUGUAUUAAUGGAAGUUGUUUGCUAUGUUAUGAAUAUUCAGUUGUAUUUAAGGUUGUUUAAUGAAAUUAGCAAGUUGAAUUUAGUCAAGCUCUGUUAAUUGAGAUGGUUGGAACGAGCCCACUCUUCUAUUCCAUUAAAUCAUAUUUUUUCUAUAUCUAUUCUUUAACGAGACCACUCUUCCACUCAAUUAAAUCAUAAUUUUU
rnacentral:misc_RNA from 1 species